rfam:Schistosoma rodhaini strain Burundi genome assembly, scaffold: SROB_scaffold0002949
ACCUUGCUGAUGAGUGCCAAGUAGCACGAAACCCGGGUCCAAGGU